AUGAAGUUGAGUGAUGAAAUUCUGGUUGAAGGAGUGAGGAAGAAGUAUGAUGAAGAUGAUGAAAUAAGAACAGUGAUGAUGUUGGUGAGACCUGAAGAAAAAACACAGAGUGCAGAGAGAGAUUUGAGAUUUUUUCUAGUGAUUUAUGGAAGAAUGAAUCAUGAUCCGAAGAAUGAAGAUAGAGGCUCGUUUAUAUAG